rnacentral:rRNA from 1 species
AUUGAACGCUGGCGGCAGGCCUAACACAUGCAAGUCGAACGAGUGGCGGACGGGUGAGUAAUGUCUGGGAAACUGCCCGAUGGAGGGGGAUAACUACUGGAAACGGUAGCUAAUACCGCAUACCAUCUGAUGUGCCCAGAUGGGAUUAGCUGGUUGGGGGGGUAACGACUCACCAAGGCGACGAUCCCUAGCUGGUCUGAGAGGAUGACCAGCCAAACUGGGACGGAGACACGGUCCAGACUCCUACGGGAGGCAGCAGUGGGGAAUAUUGCACAAUGGGCGCAAGCCUGAUGCAGCCAUGCCGCGUGUAUGAAGAAGGCCUUCGGGUUGUAAAGUACUUUCAGCGAGGAGGCGUUACUCGCAGAAGAAGCACCGGCUAACUCCGGGCCAGCAGCCGCGGUAAUAC